ensembl:lncRNA
CAAACAUUCAAUCUAUAGUACCCUGUUCAAUGAGACUGAUCCUCUGGUGAUGCUGUGUAUGAUGUAACAAUGUCAAAUUGCUCUAAAAGUUUCUAAACCAUUGUCUAUGUCUACACUUAUCCUGCUGUGGCUGGGAACAAACCCACAGACCACACUUAGAGUAGCAGUGAUAAGGAACCCAGCUCUAGAAUGGUUUCUUCAUUGCCCAAGUCAACAUCGUGGAGUGUAAGGCCACACCUUUGGGAUCUUACACACCUGGUUUCCUCCUAGUGGCACAGGAUGGAAGAGAGGGGAGAGGUGAUCUCAGAAACUAGACCCCAGCAGCUGUGACAGGCCUCUGCAGAAUAAUAAGGUACCUGGUUAGAAGUAUGGUGCGUCCCAAAUUGGUGGCUCAGCCGGUAAAGCGUGAAAAACUAUCCUUUGGCCUUUACAUAUGGAAGCUAUCACCAGUCCAAUACAAAACUAGUAGAACUUUCAUAAAAAAUUUUUUUCUCUGCUUACAAAAUGGGUCUAAUAUCUACUCUCUAGACUUCCAUUGUCUUUCGAUUUAAUUUUUACCGUUCACAAGAUAUACACCAAUAUUGAGAUAGUACAACUUCUGCUAUUAGCUUUUUAUUCAAAGCAGAACAAUUUAGUUCUGUACGUCGUUCAAAUCCUAGUCAUUUACAGGGUACAGCUGGCUUUGCCGAAUAAGUGGCUAAAAGCAGCUAUCUGGAAAGGGCAACACAUAAAGUUCAAUUCAAGGUUCCUAUAACCUGAUAGUACCACUGUUCUCUCCUGCAAUUCUAAAUAGGUCCCCAAAAUCUUAGUAUUUCCUAGCCAGUCGAUGUGACAGGUUUUGUUUCUGG